UCCUUAAAUAUAUAAGGAAGAUGUAAUUAGUACUUAAACAUAUAUACAAAUUGUCUUUUAACAGUAGAAAACUAGAUUCUGAGUGAAAAAAUAAAGAUGUGUGAAACAAACAUUACUGAAUUAGUAAUUGGAAGAUCUGAAAUCUAGACCUAAUUUUAAGAAAUCCAAUCUUUCCAAGACUGAAGAUUUUCUUGGCAGAUGAGACUGUAACUGCUAAAACCAGGACAGACCUGGGGAAAUCGAGAUGAUUGGUCACCCUGGUGUGCAAACAGGAAACAGUCAGCUGAUACCUCUGUUCUCAUCUUCCUCAUGUCAUUGAGGUAUUAAAGAAAAUCAUUGCUAAUCGCCAAUCACAUCCAGCCACAGGAACACGGUGAUUCGCAGCAUCCUCAUAUCUGUUAACAGGUCAAAAUGCAGAUCUUUGUGAAGACCCCGACUAGCAAGACCAUCACCCUGGAGGUGGAGCCUAGUGACACCAUCUAAAAUGUGAAGGCCAAGACCCAGGAUGAGGGAGGCAUCCCCCGCGAACAGCAGAGGCUCAUUUUUGCAGGCAAGCAGCCAAAAGAUGGCUGCACUCUUUCUGACCACAACAUCCAGAAAGAGUCGACCCUGCACCUAGUACUGCGUCUGAGAGGUGGUAUGCAGAUCUUUGUGAAGACCCUGACCGGCAAGACCAUCACCCUGGAAGUGGAGCCCAGUGACACCAUCGAAAAUGUGAAGGCCAAAAUCCAGGAUAAGGAAGGCAUCCCCACCUACCAGCAGAGGCUCAUCUUUGCAGGCAAGCAGCUGAAAGAUGGCUGCAUUCUUUCUGACUACAACAUCCAGAAAGAUUCAACCCUGCACCUGGUCCUGUGUCUGAGGGGUGGCUGUUAAUCCUCCAGUCUUGCAUUUGCAGUGCCCAGUGAUGGCAAUACUCUGCACUAUAGCUAUUUACCCCUACUUAAGUUUAGAAAUGACAAGUUUCAGUAAUAGCUGAACCUGUUCAAAAUGUUAAUAAAGGUUUUUGUUGCAUGGAAAAAAAGAAAAGGAAGAAAGGAAUGAAGGAAAGAAAGAAAGAAAGAAAAUCAUUGCUGUGGUUCCUUUCAGAUCUAAUGUUUUGGCAUUUUCCCCAGGAGCAUCCUAGUUCACUGUGAGAAUAGUGUGUCAUACUUCCCAAAUACAAAUGCAUGUUAGAAGCAGAAGUACAUUUCUUUUAGAGCUGAGUCAAAUAACUUGCCAAGUCGUGAACUCUAGCCAACUGACUUAAACAUACACAUUCUUCUUCAUUGUUCCCCAACAUUUUCAUCAAAUAAGGUCAAUUUUUUUGAUGGUGGGGAGAGGGAGUUAAGAGAAAAUUGCAUUUCUUUUUCAGAAACAUUGUGUCAUG